GGAAGCCAUUUUUGUAUUGGGAUUUGCACAAUGAGGCAUACCAGACGUCUCCCUGUUUAAUCCUUCGUCAUCCACCUUGUUAUGCCAUGAAGAAGCUUUGUUUAUGGAGGAUCACUAACAGGAGCGUGGGAAGACUCCAGAAUCCACUCUGGCUGGAAUCCGGUGGAUACAGCAGUGUUUACAGUUACAGUACGUGAUAUCUUGAUAUCAGGCGGUCAACACUGGGGGAAGACAAGAAGCAGACGUACUUCCAAAGAGGGAGCUGCAGUGAGGACAGAGGAGGCGCUGGAAGGUUUCCCUAAUAGUUCCUGGUGAAUCAAAGCAGAACCAUAAAGGUUGCUGGACUGCAUGAUGGCCUUACCCCUGAGCCGUCAUCCUGUUAAAGGAGGAACCAGUUAGAAGCUGUUUUCAAAGUAGCUGAGCAGAUUUCAUCUCAACAGACAAAGCCGAUGUCAGAAGAUGUCAGAGAAGAACUUCAGGCCGUGGACUGAAAAGGUAUUUUUUUCUUGUUAUCAAAGACAUUUGGAGUGACGGCUUCUACAAGUGGUUGUGCUAAAGUAAAGCUUACAGUCUAAGAAAUCACAGUGUUGAUGUUCAGCACAAAGAGAAAAGCUCACUUGUUUGAAUUUAUUUACAAUCAUAGUUUUAUAAAUUGUGACUGUAAACAGCUUUUACAGCUCUGAUAUUGUUUGACACUCGAUAUCAGGUGAUGGGAUUUAAUUUAAAGGUUUCUGUGUCCCAAUGAGCCAUUUACACUGACCAGUGUCAGUUUAACUGUAACACAUUCAUUAUUUAGAUCCAGCAGAGAAAUAACUGAAUGUAAAAAUGGCAGCCCUCAGGCAGGUUUAUAGAGAUAUAUGCAUGCAUUAUGAAAUUUAUGUAUCCCAGAUAAUUGUUAUUCAUCUAGUCAUGGCAGACCUACCCCUUCCUCCCAAGUUAACUGCAACCCAAAAUAACUAGUGGGGCUAUUUACACACUCACAACCAGUGUGGGGUAAAAAGAGCCACCAAAAAGCUGUCAGCCACAGAUGUGCUAGAAGAGUUAGAAACUCUACUUAUGGAGAAACUUUCUAAGCCUAACAGGGGACAGGUAGUCCUGCCCAAAUAACAUGAUAUAACCCCACAUACAGCCCAGCCAUAAAGUGAACCAAGUCAUUUAGUUAAAGACAGCAUGGGACCAAAUGCAUGUAACCAGCCUGCACCAACCUGACAUUUCUUCCUCCUGAAUUAAAUGAAUGAAUGGAUGAAAGUUAAAUGACUACAAACCUAAAGCCACUAGUUCCCACACUGGAGCUCCCUGACACUGUGUGUUAACCGUAUUUAGCUUGUAUCAACAGUUGUAACAGGCUAAGCCACCUGAGACACUGCAUUGAAUUUGUUCCUGUCUUAAUGGUUUCAGCUCAGAUGUUCUGCUUUUUCCUUUCAGUAGAUCAAAGCAGCUCGUGCUCCUUCUGCUUCCAAUUUAGAAGAAGAAGAAGAAGAAGAAGAAGAAGAAGAAGGCGAAGGCUUCAGCAAAGUGGCGUUCAUGGUCUCAGUGAACAGUCACGGUCACACACUGCAUGUGGUUUUAAAAGCAACAUGUCUGUUCACCACAACAAUGGAGAUGUGUAAUAUUAGUGCAGCUACGGUUUGUUCUUGAACAUCAGUUCUGUUUUCUACUUUGAUCACUUAGACCAAAAAAGUGUUGUUGUCAGAUUCUUUCUUUUACAUCUAUAAACCACCUGCUCAUUUUUUAUUACAAUUAGUUUCACAUGAAUGUUAGUGUUUCCUUUUAUGAUCUUUUAAUGCUUACACUACACUGUACAUGUCUACAUUAGAGACAUUUCUGUUGACUCAGAGUUGUGAAAUGUUCUUUUAUUUGAUGCACAAUAUGAAGUUCAUAAUUUUCUUACAAAUAAAACUCUAAUGACAAACAUGAA
ensembl:lncRNA